rnacentral:rRNA from 1 species
GCAAGUCGAACGAGAAAGCCCCUUCGGGGGUGCGUAGAGUGGCGAACUGGUGAGUAACGCGUAAGGAUCUUCCAUACAGUGGAGGAUACCUCCGGGAAACCGGGGCUAAUACUGCAUAAGUCCCUUCGGGGAGAAAGGUGGCUUCUUGCUACCGCUGUUUGAUGAACUUGCGUACUAUUAGCUUGUUGGUGAGGUAAAGGCUCACCAUGGCGAUGAUGGUUAGCCGACCUGAGAGGGUGAUC